rnacentral:lncRNA from 1 species
UGAUUCUUUGCAGUUGAGUUCCCUUAAGGGUUUGGAGGCUGUUCUGAGUUCUCUGUCAGGUUUCUCUCCAGGUUUUGUCCAGGGUUUUGUUCCAAGGAAACCUCAGAGUGUUUUUCUUGUAUUCCUUUUUCUGUCUCUUUUGUUUCAAUGAAACUCUAGUAAUUAUAUCCUAAUAUUGGUAGCUUAGUGGGCUUUUGAGAGAGGUCCAAGUCCAAGAUUUUUCUAUUAUAUUUUAUUUAUUUAUUUAUUUAUUUAAUUUAUUUAUUUGUUUUUUUUCGUUUUUUUUUUUGUUUUUUUUUUGUUUUUUUUUUAUUUUUUUGUUUUAAAUAAAGUUUCUUGGAUCUGAUUCUGAUUGCCAUGAUGAAAUGCAAAUGCUAAAUGACCUAAAAAUGAAUGCAUGCAUGAGGUGUAAAGCGUAUGCUUCCAGGAAAAAUGAAGGGUAAAUUUUGGGGUAUUACAGUUGCCCCUAUUCAAUCAACUAGAGACCUGGAAAGAAGAUAGCAGCGACUUUCGUGCUUUCGAGGUAUCAAGGGAUUGAAUACAAUAAA